AACCUCCGCAAUGUGAGAAAUCGCGACGGGGGGAUCCCAAGUGCCAUUCUUAACGGGAUGGCUUUUCAUUAGUGUAAAGAGCUUUUGGAAUAAGAGCUGGGCAAGACCGGUGCCAGCCGCCGCGGUAACACCGGCAGCUCUAGUGGUAACAAUUUUUAUUGGGCCUAAAGCGUCCGUAGCCGGUUUAAUAAGUCUCUGGUGAAAUCCUGCAGCUUAACUGUGGGAAUUGCUGGAGAUACUAUUAGACUUGAGACCGGGAGAGGUUAGAGGUACUCCCAGGGUAGAGGUGAAAUUCUGUAAUCCUGGGAGGACCGCCUGUUGCGAAGGCGUCUAACUGGAACGGUUCCGACGGUGAGGGACGAAAGUUAGGGGCGCGAACCGGAUUUAGAUACCCGGGUAGUCCUAACUGUAACGAUGCGGACUUGGUGUUGGGGUGGCUUUGAGCUGCUUCAGUGCCGAAGGGAAGCUGUUAAGUCCGCCGCCUGGGAAGUACGGUCGCAAGACUGAAACUUAAAGGAAUU
rnacentral:rRNA from 1 species